GACGAACGCUGGCGGCGUGCUUAACACAUGCAAGUCGAACGGAAAGGCCUCUUUCGGGGGGUACUCGAGUGGCGAACGGGUGAGUAACACGUGAGUAACCUGCCCUUGACUUUGGGAUAACUUCAGGAAACUGGGGCUAAUACCGGAUAGGAGCUCCUGCUGCAUGGUGGGGGUUGGAAAGUUUCGGCGGUUGGGGAUGGACUCGCGGCUUAUCAGCUUGUUGGUGGGGUAGUGGCUUACCAAGGCUUUGACGGGUAGCCGGCCUGAGAGGGCGACCGGCCACAUUGGGACUGAGAGACGGCCCAGACUCCUACGGGAGGCAGCAGUGGGGAAUAUUGCACAAUGGGUGGAAGCCUGAUGCAGCAACGCCGUGUGCGGGAUGACGGCCUUCGGGUUGUAAACCGCUUUCGCUCAUGACGAAGCUUUGUGUGACGGUAGUGGGUAAAGAAGCACCGGCUAACUACGUG
rnacentral:rRNA from 1 species